CCCUUAGAUGUUCUGGGCUGCACGCGCGCUACACUGAUGCGAUCAACAAGUUUUUCCUAUGUCGAUAGACACGGGUAAUCUUUUGAACUCGCAUCGUGAUGGGGAUAGAUUAUUGUAAUUAUUAAUCUUCAACGAGGAAUUCCUAGUAGGUGCAAAUCAUCAGUUUGCAUCGAUUACGUCCCUGCCCUUUGUACACACCGCCCGUCGCUGCUACCGAUUGGUUGAUCUGGUGAAUUAUUCGGACUGCCGGCUGAAGGGGUUUCCUCAUCUGCCAGCGGAAAGUCUUGUUAACCCUAUCAACUAGAGGAAGCAGAGGUCGUAACA
rnacentral:rRNA from 1 species